rnacentral:rRNA from 1 species
GAUGAACGCUGGCGGUGUGCCUAAUACAUGCAAGUCGAGCGAACAGACGAGGAGCUUACUCCUCUGACGUUAGCGGCGGACGGGUGAGUAACACGUGGAUAACCUACCUAUAAGACUGGGAUAACUUCGGGAAACCGGAGCUAAUACCGGAUAACAUGUUGAACCGCAUGGUUCAACAGUGAAAGACGGUCUUGCUGUCACUUAUAGAUGGAUCCGCGUCGCAUUAGCUAGUUGGUAAGGUAACGGCUUACCAAGGCAACGAUGCGUAGCCGACCUGAGAGGGUGAUAGGCCACACUGGAACUGAGACACGGUCCAGACUCCUACGGGAGGCGGCAGUAGGGAAUCUUCCGCAAUGGGCGAAAGCCUGACGGAGCAACGCCGCGUGAGUGAAGAAGGUCUUCGGAUCGUAAAACUCUGUUAUUAGGGAAGAACAAAUGUGUAAGUAACUAUGCACGUCUUGACGGUACCUAAUCAGAAAGCCACGGCUAACUACGUG